CCUUUGACGUUAGCGGCGGACGGGUGAGUAACACGUGGGUAACCUACCUAUAAGACUGGGAUAACUUCGGGAAACCGGAGCUAAUACCGGAUAAUAUUUCGAACCGCAUGGUUCGAUAGUGAAAGGUGGUUCUGCUAUCACUUAUAGAUGGACCCGCGCCGUAUUAGCUAGUUGGUAAGGUAACGGCUUACCAAGGCGACGAUACGUAGCCGACCUGAGAGGGUGAUCGGCCACACUGGAACUGAGACACGGUCCAGACUCCUACGGGAGGCAGCAGGC
rnacentral:rRNA from 1 species